GAUGAACGCUGGCGGCGUGCCUAAUACAUGCAAGUCGAGCGAACAGACGAGGAGCUUGCUCCUCUGACGUUAGCGGCGGACGGGUGAGUAACACGUGGAUAACCUACCUAUAAGACUGGGAUAACUUCGGGAAACCGGAGCUAAUACCGGAUAAUAUAUUGAACCGCAUGGUUCAAUAGUGAAAGCCGGUUUUGCUGUCACUUAUAGAUGGUUCCGCGCCGCAUUAGCUAGUUGGUAAGGUAACGGCUUACCAAGGCGACGAUGCGUAGCCGAUCUGAGAGGGUGAUCGGCCACACUGGAACUGAGACACGGUCCAGACUCCUACGGGAGGCAGCAGUAGGGAAUCUUCCGCAAUGGGCGAAAGCCUGACGGAGCAACGCCGCGUGAGUGAUGAAGGUCUUCGGAUCGUAAAACUCUGUUAGUAGGGAAGAACAAAUGUGUGAGUAACUAUGCACGUCUUGACGGUACCUAAUCAGAAAGCCACGGCUAACUACGUG
rnacentral:rRNA from 1 species